UUUGCAGUCUCGUUAAAGUGCCCCUUGCCAUGACUGUUGCUCGUGGGCACAGCCGGACUGCAGAAAGCAACACAAAGAAUAAAAAGGCGUGUCUCCCAGAGGCUGAGGAGUUCCACGUGCGAUGUUCCUUGGACAGCUGGAUCUGCUUCCCACGGCGGUGACGGUCUGGUUCUGUGGCCGUCGCCUUUCUUGAGGCAGGCAGAGAAAAACCGGGCAGCCAGGUAUUGUUUGGAACAGGUGAAGUUCUUCCUGUCAAACACUGUGAGCUGCCACAAGC